ncrna:Nicotiana tabacum cultivar TN90 Ntab-TN90_scaffold1920, whole genome shotgun sequence
AGGAGCUGUAUGAGGUGAAAAUCUCAUGUACGGUUCUGGAAUGAAGAUGCUUUCAAUUGAAU